rnacentral:rRNA from 1 species
UAGGGAAUCUUCGGCAAUGGACGGAAGUCUGACCGAGCAACGCCGCGUGAGUGAAGAAGGUUUUCGGAUCGUAAAGCUCUGUUGUAAGAGAAGAACGAGUGUGAGAGUGGAAAGUUCACACUGUGACGGUAUCUUACCAGAAAGGGACGGCUAACUACGUGCCAGCAGCCGCGGUAAUACGUAGGUCCCAAGCGUUGUCCGGAUUUAUUGGGCGUAAAGCGAGCGCAGGCGGUUAGAUAAGUCUGAAGUUAAAGGCUGUGGCUUAACCAUAGUACGCUUUGGAAACUGUUUAACUUGAGUGCAAGAGGGGAGAGUGGAAUUCCAUGUGUAGCGGUGAAAUGCGUAGAUAUAUGGAGGAACACCGGUGGCGAAAGCGGCUCUCUGGCUUGUAACUGACGCUGAGGCUCGAAAGCGUGGGGAGCAAACAGGAUUAGAUACCCUGGUAGUCCACGCCGUAAACGAUGAGUGCUAGGUGUUAGACCCUUUCCGGGGUUUAGUGCCGUAGCUAACGCAUUAAGCACUCCGCCUGGGGAGUACGACCGCAAGGUUG